rnacentral:lncRNA from 1 species
CUGGAGAAGAGAGGGGGAGAACUGGGUGUUUGUGCUUCUGUGUAAGGGGCAAGUUCAUCACCCACUGUGCCGUGAUGGCACACAAUGGAGGGUGGGUCUCCAUAGGGAAUGGAAGUGCUGCUGGCCACUGAACAGUCCCAAGCCCACAAAUGCUCACCACAAACGUUACUAUUUAAAUCCAGAAGAGAAGGCAGGUGCUUCUUGAUAAAACCAGGGCAGAGUUACAUGGUGUGGAGGAAAAGGGUGGGCUUGAGUUUCUGGCAAGCUCCAUAUGUAAGGGUUAAAAUCACCUGAGGUGAGGGACUCUAAGAGGCGCAGUGCUCAAACCUCCACUUGUACUGACUGUGUGACCUUGAGCAAGUGAUUUCAGCUCUCUGAGCUUCCGAGCUCUGAAGGCCCAGUUAGAUGAUACACCUAGAACACGCCUGGAACGAGAGCGGGUACAUGGCAAACACUAAGGAAGAUCUAGCUACGGUGAUUGCAGUGUCUUCUGUUUAGAGAAGAGGACUGGCUUCUCCUGCACCUGAGGCCUGGAGGGUAAAGCAGAGGAGCAGAAGCAAUAAACAUGGGAGAUGGAAGGAUCUGAAACCAGCAGAGGGCCCACGGUGUUUCAGGCCCUUUUCAAGGAUAAAGGUGUACAAAGAUGAAGAAACACAGUCCUUGCCUCCAGGGGUUUAGAGUCUAGUGUUCCUAUAACGUGUAAUAGCAAUACCUGUUAUUGAUCAACUUACAAUAUACCAGGCUCUACACUAAGUGUUUCCAGAAUAUUAUUUCAGCCAAUGUUUGUGAUAACUUCAGAGAUUGGUACUUGUCUUAGUCCAUUAUCUGUUGCUUAUAAUAGAAUAUCUGAAACUGGGCAAUCUAUAAAGAAAAGGAAUCUAUUUCUUACAGUUAUGGAGGCUGC